rnacentral:rRNA from 2 species
GGGUUGUGAGGUUAAGCGACUAAGCGUACACGGUGGAUGCCCUGGCAGUCAGAGGCGAUGAAGGGCGUGCUAAUCUGCGAUAAGCGCCGGUAAGGUGAUAUGAACCGUUAUAACCGGCGAUACCCGAAUGGGGAAACCCAGUGUGACUCGUCACACUAUCAUUAACUGAAUCCAUAGGUUAAUGAGGCGAACCGGGGGAACUGAAACAUCUAAGUACCCCGAGGAAAAGAAAUCAACCGAGAUUCCCCCAGUAGCGGCGAGCGAACGGGGAGGAGCCCAGAGCCUGAAUCAGCAUGUGUGUUAGUGGAAGCGUCUGGAAAGGCGCGCGAUACAGGGUGACAGCCCCGUACACAAAAGCGCAUGUGCUGUGAGCUCGAUGAGUAGGGCGGGACACGUGGUAUCCUGUCUGAAUAUGGGGGGACCAUCCUCCAAGGCUAAAUACUCCUGACUGACCGAUAGUGAACCAGUACCGUGAGGGAAAGGCGAAAAGAACCCCGGCGAGGGGAGUGAAAAAGAACCUGAAACCGUGUACGUACAAGCAGUGGGAGCACAGGUUUACCUGUGUGACUGCGUACCUUUUGUAUAAUGGGUCAGCGACUUAUAUUCUGUAGCAAG